rnacentral:rRNA from 1 species
AUUGAACGCUGGCGGCAGGCUUAACACAUGCAAGUCGAGCGAGCGGCGGACGGGUGAGUAAUGUCUGGGAAUCUGCCUGAUGGAGGGGGAUCACUACUGGAAACGGUAGCUAAUACCGCAUACCCUCAGAUGUGCCCAGAUGGGAUUAGCUAGUAGGGGGGGUAAAGGCUCACCUAGGCGACGAUCUCUAGCUGGUCUGAGAGGAUGCCCAGCCACACUGGGACUGAGACACGGCCCAGACUCCUACGGGAGGCAGCAGUGGGGAAUAUUGCACAAUGGGCGCAAGCCUGAUGGAGCCAUGCCGCGUGUGUGAAGAAGGCCUUCGGGUUGUAAAGGACUUUCAGCGGGGAGGCGUUACUCGCAGAAGAAGCACCGGCUAACUCCGUGCCAGCAGCCGCGGUAAUUC